AUUGAACGCUGGCGGCAGGCUUAACACAUGCAAGUCGAGCGGGCGAGGUUGCUUCGGUAACUGAGCUAGCGGCGGACGGGUGAGUAAUGCUUAGGAAUCUGCCUAUUAGUGGGGGACAACAUUCCGAAAGGAAUGCUAAUACCGCAUACGCCCUACGGGGGAAAGCAGGGGAUCUUCGGACCUUGCGCUAAUAGAUGAGCCUAAGUCAGAUUAGCUAGUUGGUGGGGUAAAGGCCUACCAAGGCGACGAUCUGUAGCGGGUCUGAGAGGAUGAUCCGCCACACUGGGACUGAGACACGGCCCAGACUCCUACGGGAGGCAGCAGUGGGGAAUAUUGGACAAUGGGCGCAAGCCUGAUCCAGCCAUGCCGCGUGUGUGAAGAAGGCCUUUUGGUUGUAAAGCACUUUAAGCGAGGAGGAGGCUACCGAGAUUAAUACUCUUGGAUAGUGGACGUUACUCGCAGAAUAAGCACCGGCUAACUCUGUGCCAGCCGCCGCAGUAACAC
rnacentral:rRNA from 1 species